rnacentral:lncRNA from 1 species
AACACAGUUGGUCCGAGUGUUGUGGGUUAUUGUUAAGUUGAUUUAACAUUGUCUCCCCCCACAACCGCGCUUGACUAGCUUGCUGUUUUGCACUAAUAACAGUAGUAGACAACGUUUACAUAAAUCAAUAAAAACGCAUAUAAAAGUAACCUUUAG